rnacentral:rRNA from 1 species
GAUGAACGCUGGCGGCGUGCCUAAUACAUGCAAGUCGAGCGAACAGACGAGGAGCUUGCUCCUCUGACGUUAGCGGCGGACGGGUGAGUAACACGUGGAUAACCUACCUAUAAGACUGGGAUAACUUCGGGAAACCGGAGCUAAUACCGGAUAACAUGUUGAACCGCAUGGUUCAACAGUGAAAGACGGUUUUGCUGUCACUUAUAGAUGGAUCCGCGUCGCAUUAGCUAAUUGCUAAGGUAACGGCUUACCAAGGCAACGAUGCGUAGCCGACCUGAGAGGGUGAUCGGCCACACUGGACCUGAGACACGGUCCAGACUCCUACGGGAGGCAGCAGUAGGGAAUCUUCCGCAAUGGGCGAAAGCCUGACGGAGCAACGCCGCGUGAGUGAAGAAGGUCUUCGGAUCGUAAAACUCUGUUAUUAGGGAAGAACAAAUGUGUAAGUAACUAUGCACGUCUUGACGGUACCUAAUCAGAAAGCCACGGCUAACUACGUG